GACAGAGGGUGCAAACGUUGUUCGGAAUUACUGGGCGUAAAGCGCGUGUAGGCGGCUCGGAAAGUCGGGUGUGAAAGCCCUGGGCUUAACCCAGGAAGUGCACUCGAAACUUCCGAGCUGGAGUCCUGGAGAGGAAGGCGGAAUUCUCGGUGUAGAGGUGAAAUUCGUAGAUAUUGGGAAGAACACCGGUGGCGAAGGCGGCUAUCUGGACCGACAUUGACGCUGAGGCGCGAAAGCGUGGGGAGCAAACAGG
rnacentral:rRNA from 1 species